AUACGCACCCAUCGUAUCACAACAGGAUCAACAGAAACUUCCCAUUUCUCGUUUACUCUAAUCUCUCUUCAAUGAAUUUCUUUAAAUCCAUUCUCUCCGACGAUCCAGAUCCCCCUGGAUCCGAAUCUGAAUCCGACAAUGCGCCUCACCCGCAAAACGCAACCGAUCCUGAUCCCUCCUCAUCCAACGCCGCCACAGCCACCGCCGACCACAGUCACGGCGUCGAUGGCAGCGGGUGGAUUCGGUUCGGUGGCCUGAUCAAAACCCUAACCUCCAAAUCCGAAUCGAUAAUCGAGACGUACCGCCGGGACCUCCAAGAAUUCGGCACGGGACUCAAGAAGGAGAUCGAGGUCGCCCAUGGCUCCCUCGAGACGGUGGGCCAGGCCAUCGAUCAGUUGGGAUCUACUGUUGUCAAAGGAACGGCCCAGAUCAUCUCCCAAGGUAAGGAAGCAAUUCUGGCCGCCGAUCUCGAUUCCGAUAACAAUAGCAACAAAAGCACUAAAAGCCCUAGCAAAGAUGGUAGUAGCUCGAAUUUGAAAGGGUAUAGUAGGUUUGAAGCUCAGAUUCGUGCUAUUCAGGGUGAUGCUAGCACUUACACUGAUGAGCCUGAGGAUUUGGAAGAGUAUGGAAAAUGGAAAUCAGGGUUUUCGUUGGAAGGGAAGGCUAAGGAAUUGGAGGGUUUGCUUAGUGAGAAUGAGGCUAUGGAGAGUGUUUACAAGAGGCUUGUUCCGAAUAGCGUGGAUAACGAGAGUUUCUGGUUAAGGUAUUUCUAUAAGGUAUAUAAGCUGAAGAAAGCUGAGGAUGUGAGGGCUAGACUUGUGACGACAAUGUCAAGGGAAGAGGAGGAUUUGAGUUGGGAUGUAACAGAUGUUGAAGAUGAUGAUGAUGAUGAUGAUGAUGAUGAGGAGGAGGAGGAGGAGGAGGAGGAGGGAGAAGAGAAUGUGGGUCAUGGUAAAUCAAAGGGUGUGAUUGAUAAGGAGGUUAGUGGUGAAACUUUGGCAAUUGAGGAGAAUUCUGAGUUGCAAGGUGGUAAAUUUGGUGAAAAGGGUGUGGUCGAAACAAAGAGAUUGAGUGUGGAAGUGGAGGGAAAUAGUUCAUUGCAAAGUGAAAGUAAGGAACAUGGCAAUGUUUCUGUUGGGGAAACUAAAGUUGAGAGCUCAGUGAUUGCUCAAAAGGCGGAUGAUGGAAGCAACUCAUGCAAGGAAGUCGUGAAGGAAGUGAUUGAAUCUGGGAAGAAUAGUGAUUAUGCAGCUGGUUCUGAUGAGAAAGUGAUAGUGGAAACAAAAGUUGAUGAUGGAAAACCUUCGGUGGUUGAGGCAAGUAAGAGCCCGGCACACCAGGAUGAGGAGGAUCUCAGUUGGGAUGAGAUUGAGGAUCUCAGUAGUAUUGAUGAAAAGAAGACAAGUCCGCCUCGGAGUGGAAGCCCAAGCAAAGUUGAUGUGCGGAAGCGACUGAGUGUUGCAGAGGAAGAAGAAGACUUGAGUUGGGACAUUGAAGAUGAUGAUGAUGAUGCUGUUAAGUCUUGAGACACUUGAUGCUCACUGAUCUGAGUUCUGGUGAGAGGCAUAAUUAUCAGCAAUCGGGCUCCUUUGUACAACAAAUGGACAUCCUCCACUGUUCCAAGAAGUUGACUCUCCCAUAUUUGAAUUGGUUGGCGAUGAUAUUGCCAUAAGGCGUCCCUUUUGUGCUCGAGGUGGGAGGUGCCUUGCAGGUUUCCUGGAUGUUACCUUCCAAGGCAAGAAAACCCCAGUCCCAGCGCCACCAGGAAGUUUGCCAGGGUUCAUUGCCAUAGGGUGUACAGGGUUUGUAUGACCAUUGGAGCAUGAAGUAUUCCCCAUUUGGGCAUCAUGUCCAUAGUCUCAUAGCUGCUUACAGCUCCAUUUGGCACAACUUAUGGGCUAGCAAUGCCGGGAUGCCAAAGAGUCAUUGCGUUUGUCACGGUCGGAGUUAGUGACUGGCAUUGAUUGGAGUCUGACCUCACUCUGAAGAAGCUGAUGCUAAUCCUUCCGUUCGGUGAUGGACACAUUACGUGUCUUGCAAUGUCUGCACUAUUUCCUCUCAUCACUAAAAGAGACCUGCCAAAGUAAGAUGAAAUACAAGUAAAAACAUUAAUAUUAAUGUUUUGAUCAUCAAAAAUGACAUUUAAUU